UUACGAUAAAUGUCAAUUGGUUAGAUAUUAGUAUGAAUAUGGUAUGUUCACGCCAGUAAGUAGAACUACAUACCUACAUAAGUAUAUAGAUAAAACGUCUCGUACAAUGUGGAAUUCCAAGUUAAAUUUACUGUUAGUGUGUUUUACUUCGUCACUGGUAUCUGCGGUGGCUGGAUUUUCCUGUGAUGGGGAUGGAGAAGCGAGAGUAACCGAAUGUUCGGCAGAAUUGUAUGCUAUUGCUACAGCUAGCGGUGAUGUAACUGAACAACAAUGCAGAAAAAUGAAGAUAGCCGUCAAGUGUAUACAAGAUAUUGAAAAUAAAUGUAAUGACGCCAUGAUGGAAACGCCUGUAUUAAACUCAAUAUCCGUACACCUGCCUGCUAUUGUAGAAGCUAUAAAUACUGAGUGUGGUGAGUAUGAUACGUGUGAGUUAGCUGAAGAUCUGGCUGAUGAAUGUAUAGAUAUGGGAAUUGAAGCUCUCGGUGAUAACCAGGCUUCGCCAAAAGAAAUGUGCAAGAGUGUAGACGAGCAGCUAUCUUGUGUAGAGAAUGUUAUAUAUCUGUGCCCAACUGUCAGCAGUGAACAGAAAGUAAAAACGGCCGUUAGACGACAAAGAUUUAUGAACAUAUGUGGACGAUAUUUUUCUAAAAAUGUUCGAAAGUAAAAAGUGGAACGGAUACAGAAACGUGACAAGUUGAUGUUAUGAUGUGUUUAACGUCACUAAUUUGGUAUAAUAUUAAUUAGUGACAACUAAUAUUUGACGUUUGUUUAAAGGUCUAAAUAAAUUAUAAAUAUUGUA